CCGGGUUGGAGAAAGCAAUUUUGGAUGUUAUUUAUCUGCACUGAUACAAAAGGAGCAGGGCUACUUUUUUUAUCCAGAAAAAUGGUGCAAUAGGAAUUGGAAAAAGAAACAUGGCAGAACAAGAGAAGAUGCAUAAAAGGAUAUGACUUUUUGUCUUGGAAGAAAGUUAGAUCCAGUACAACUUCAACUAGCAGAUGGAAGACCUACGGAAAGGAGAUUCUCACUGUCAUUCAAUUAUUGUAUCUUAAAAAUUAAUCCUAAAUUAAAAGCUUAAAGUAAC